rnacentral:rRNA from 1 species
GACGAACGCUGGCGGCGUGCUUAACACAUGCAAGUCGAACGGUGAUGCUCCAGCUUGCUGGAGUGGAUCAGUGGCGAACGGGUGAGUAACACGUGAGCAACCUGCCCCAGACUCUGGAAUAAGCGCUGGAAACGGCGUCUAAUACUGGAUACGAAACUGGCCCGCAUGGGCAUGGUUUGGAAAGUUUUUCGGUUUGGGAUGGGCUCGCGGCCUAUCAGCUUGUUGGUGAGGUAAUGGCUCACCAAGGCGACGACGGGUAGCCGGCCUGAGAGGGCGACCGGCCACACUGGGACUGAGACACGGCCCAGACUCCUACGGGAGGCAGCAGUGGGGAAUAUUGCACAAUGGGCGAAAGCCUGAUGCAGCGACGCCGCGUGAGGGAUGACGGCCUUCGGGUUGUAAACCACUUUCAGCAGGGAAGAAGCGAAAGUGACGGUACCUGCAGAAGAAGCACCGGCUAACUACGUG